GAUGAACGCUGGCGGCGUGCCUAAUACAUGCAAGUCGAGCGAACGGACGAGAAUCUUGCUUCUCUGAUGUUAGCGGCGGACGUGUGAGUAACACGUGUAUAACCUACCUUUAAUUCUGGUAUAACUUCGCGAAACCGUAUCUAAUACCGGAUAAUAUUUUGUACCUCAUGGUUCAAAAGUGAAAGACGGUCUUGCUGUCUCUUAUAGAUGGUUCCGCGCUGCAUUAGCUAGUUGGUAAGGUAACGGCUUACCAAGGCAACGAUGCAUAUCCGACAUGAGAGGGUGAUCGGGCAGACGGGAACGGAGACACGGUCAAGAGUACUACGGGAGGCAGCAGUAGGGAAUAUGCGGCAAUGGGCGAAAGAAUGACGGAGAAACGGGGAGUGAGUGAUGAAGGAGUUCGGAUCGUAAAACUCUGUUAUUAGGGAAGAAAAGAUGUGUAAGAAAAUGAGCACAAAAUGACGGUAACUAAAAAGAAAGCAACGGCUAACUACGUG
rnacentral:rRNA from 1 species